rnacentral:rRNA from 1 species
UACGGAGGGUCCAAGCGUUAUCCGGAAUCAUUGGGUUUAAAGGGUCCGUAGGCGGUUUAGUAAGUCAGUGGUGAAAGCCCAUCGCUCAACGGUGGGACGGCCAUUGAUACUGCUAGACUUGAAUUAUUAGGAAGUAACUAGAAUAUGUAGUGUAGCGGUGAAAUGCUUAGAGAUUACAUGGAAUACCAAUUGCGAAGGCAGGUUACUACUAAUGGAUUGACGCUGAUGGACGAAAGCGUGGGUAGCGAGCAGG